AUUGGCUUUAAUUUAGAUUUCUUGAGUUUUACUGAAGAUGAAUUAGAGGCUGUUAUUGAUAAAGCUAUCAAUGAUCCGAGUUACAAGAGAAACAUCAAAAACUUUGGCGCCUAUAUGAAAGAUCUGCCCAUACAACCUCUGGAUAAAGUUGUAUGGUGGGCAGAACACAUCAUCCAGCAUGGUGGUGCACAUUUACAGCCAUUAUCAGCUCAUUUAUCAUGGACAGAAUAUUUUGAAUUACAUUUAAUUCUAACUGUUUUAAUAGUAUUGGUUGUAUUAAUAGUAAUGGUUGUAGCUGUACUAAGAUUUUUGUGUGCAAUGUUGUAUAGAAUGUGUUGUAGUAAACUAAAUAAAAAGAAUUUAUAAGCAAUUA